UCUUCAGUGAGGUAUAUCCUUACCUGUUACUUCAGAAAUGAAGUUGCAGAAAAUGAUGAAUGGAGGCAGCAUGAGGAAUGAUUAUAUGUCCUCUGUCAUGUUGGGAACAGCAACACCCUUCAUGACCCAUUCUGAU
ensembl:snoRNA U8 U8 small nucleolar RNA